AUGACUUAUGCCGUUUUUCAACAGGCCACUCCAGAAACAACUCGACUGUGUACGGGACUCCGGGGGAGUGAGGCAACGCUGUGGGGAAACAGCACAAAAUUUGUUUGCCAAUCUCUCCGGGGUGUUUCUUGGACACUGGUGCCUUAAUUCUGCGUCAAGCUUGUCACAAAUGCCAUUCAUUCUGAAGAUUUUCUUCGCCCUACUUCCGUUGCUACCAGUCAUUUCCCAGCUCACUCGCCAAUAAACUCUGAUAAGCGAUGCAUGUAACAGCUAAGCUUAAUCUCAAACAGUAUGAGGACUAGCAGAUAUCAUUGUUGAAUUAAUAAUACAGGCUUUAAUCAGACAAAGGUUCAUAAUAAUAGAUAGAAAUUAUGCAACUAUUUGAAAGGUGGAAUUUUCACACCAUGGAAUGUAUUUACGUUAAUCACCAUCCCCUCUUCUACAACAUGGGGUAAUCCAAAUAUUUUUUGAAUAAAUUUACUCCAAUUCCC